UCAGCUUUGGUGUAGUAGGUAUCGCAUCAGUCUCUGAAGCUGAAGGUCCUGAGUUCGAUCCUUAGAAGGAGGG
rnacentral:tRNA from 1 species